UUUGUACAUGGCUUGUGUUUGGUUGACUUGAUGUGAUGACUUGGAUUACUGGGGCAAAGGAACAAUGGUUACCGUCAGCUCAGAAUCCCCAAAGGCCCCUUCUCUUUUCCCACUCAUCCCAUCUGUGGACAACUUAGAGACCAAAGACAUAACCAUCGGAUGUCUCGCCAAGAAUUUCCUGCCAAAUUCAAUUGAAUUCUCCUGGAAUAACCCAAGCAACCAGAGUAUCAGCGAAGAGAACUACGUGAAAUUCCCAUCUAUCUUGUCGGGUGGGACAUACACAGCCGCUUCUCAGGCUAAAGUCGAUCCGGCUUUAUGGAAUGCUUUCAAACCGUACUAUUGCAAAGCCAAGCACCCACAGGGCAACACAGAGAUCUCAGUUGUUCAACAAUAUGGGGGAUCAUCUUCAAGAGAGCCUUUGAUGCUUAUCCGGGCACCAACGCUGGCUUCCUUUUCAAGUAUCUACCUAAAUUCCACGGUUACCUGUGAAGUUAGCGACCUCUGCUCUGGAAAUGUCGUCCUCUCUUGGCUUAAGGAUCAACGAGAGAUCACCACUGGCAUCACCACCUCCAAACCAGUCCCGAAUGGUCAUGGCAGCUACACCGUUUGGAGCAGACUUGUCAUCACCAAGGAAGACUGGGUUUCUGAAAAGAAGUUCACCUGUAAAGUGAAAAGCCAGGGGUUCGAUCAUGAAGAGACAUUCAGCUUGCCAUCUUUCUGCAAACGUGAAGGCUGUGAACCUGUUACCGUGGAAACCAUCCCCCCAACUUUUGCUGACAUGUUCCUGACCAACUCAGCCAACCUGACUUGCAGAAUCUCCAACAUCCCUGUCACUGCAGAGUAUUCCAAGUUGAACGUCACCUGGACCCGAGCAUCGGACCAGAAGCAACUCCCCACUGUGAUGACCGACUUCCUAGAUCAGGAAAAUGAAUUUUACUAUGUCGACGCUAUAGCCACAGUGUGUGCAACAGAAUGGGAUGAGAAGGAAACCUUUACCUGCAAAGUGACCUUUGAGAACGUACUUGUCAAGCCAGUAGAAAAAACCUUGGAGAAGAAGACUGUCGGCGAACCAAAAGCUCCCUCUGUCUACAUCCUUUCGCCUUCCUUAGAAGAGCUGAAUUUGCGGGAAAAAGUGACCCUCACAUGCCUCAUUAAGAACUUUAAUCCCGGCAACUUCUUUGUGCGAUGGCUCCAGAACGAACAGGCGGUCAGCGAAUCAGAAUACUUCACCAGCAAAGCCGUAGCAGAGUCCAAAAUACAGUCCAAUGAAUAUUUUGCCUACAGCAUGUUGAACGUCAAUGAACAGGAAUGGAGCGCAGGAGAUUCCUUCACUUGUGUGGUGGGACAUGAAGCCUUGCCCUAUGGCUCCAUUCAGAAGACUAUCAAUAAGAACACGGGUUACGUAGAUGGAAUUGUGGACACGGAGGAUGAAGAAGAAUACCAAAACAUCUCGUCGAUCCUUUCCACUUUCAUCAUUCUUUUCCUAGUGAGCCUCUUCUACAGUGCCACGGUGACAGUCAUUAAGGUGAAAUGAAAAAGAGAGAUGCUGUUCUUCUACAUCUACUUCUGUAAAAGGAGAAAGGAUUUAUUUGAGAAGAGCUGGAAUUUUUUUUACUUUGCUUUGUAUCAUAGCCUUAAGAGUCCAUGUGAGCGGAAACCGCCUGGUUGUUUACAGUUUAGCUCCAUGGUGAAAUGUUGCUUUUACUCUGUUGCGUCAUUUUCUGUGUGACGUAUAUCUUUGUGGAUACUUCUCUGUGUCUCAGUUAUAGUCAUUGUUUAAUCAUUGUUAUGAUUAUGAUUAUUUUUUGUCAGAAUGGUCUACCUGAUCUGAUACUCUAAAGGGGACUUAGAGCACUUUUAAUCUUCAUGUAAAACAGACGAGAUUCGCUGCACAAUUCGUAUUAAUUCGAAUGUACUUUUUUUUAUAUUGAGAUUGUCAUACAAUGUUGCAAUAAAUAUCUAUUCUUGAUGAAUGAA